GAGGCCUGGGGGGGGCCCAGGCGUCCGGGGCCGAGGGUGGCGGCGUCCCCGGGGUGCACCUGCCUCCGGCCGGCUGCCAGGGCCCCCCGGGGGCCAGCGCGCGGCGUCGCCAAGCCGGGCGUUAUCAGCACGGGGCCCCGCUGGCAGCUCCGGCACGUCGCUGCUAUCUGCCGCAUGCCAUCGCGCCGCCCGCGAGGCCCCACGCCAGCACCGCAAAGAGGGCCCAGGCGUCCGGGAGGGGCGAGGGGGGGAAGGGACCCAGGCGUCCGGGCCCCCCUCUCCCGGCCCGGGCAGGCGGGGGGAGCGGGGCCCCGACCUCCCGGCCCUCGGCGGCACAAAGGGGGUCUGUGUGCGCGGGGCGGCCGCCGCCGCGGGGCCGGAUCCCAGCCCCAGCCCCGAACAAAGGGGCACAGAGCCGGCGCCGGGCACCGGCCCCAGCCGGCCCCGCGGAGGGACGGGGACGGGGAUGGGGACGGGGCGGGCUGGGAGGCGGCGGAGCAGGGCCGGCUCCGCGGGACGGGCACCUGCGGGCUCCCCGCGGCCCCCCUGCAAUUCGGUCCCAGGCCCCCGUGCGAGCCGGCCCUCGUGCAAAGCAGCCCCUGCACGAGCCAGUUCCCGCGCGAGCCGGCCCCGGGCAUCGCCGGCAGCACGUGGCCGGGCCCAGUGGCACCGAGGCGCUGGCGACGGGGCCCCGUCUAUUCCUCCCUUUCCCCCUUUCCCGAAACUGCCCCACCCAGCAACGCAGAUGACACAGAGAUUUUGCACCCGCGCGCACACACACGGCACGUUCGCACCGCUGACGUGCGCCCGGCUCCACCUUUGCGUCCAGCCCUCGAUGUUUUCGUUUUGGGGCUGAAAAACAACUCCCGGGCGGCCCUUUCCUUCCGGGAACGUCCCCCCGCCACCGCUUUCUCCCGCCUUCCGCCUCCCCGAAACGGUGGGGCUGAGGCGAGGUGCCUCCGUCGCACCCUCCGGCCACGCCGCAGCCCGGACGGGGCGGGCAGGGCCUGGGCACGGGGGACCCGGGGGGCAGCGCUGGCCCCGCGGGGGCCGGAGGGUCUCCCGCUCUGGGUAUCCGGGGGAGGCCGGUCCCGGAUCCGGAUUCCAGCGGCAUUGCUGGAGGCACACGGCCGGUCCCAGAGCCUAAAAUUAGCCGGCAGCUGCGGGGCGCACAGGUGCCGGCGUGGCACGGGGCGGCCGGCGGGAGGGAGGGCGUCGAGCCCCCAGCCCGGCCGGCGGCUCCGGGGGGACACGGCCGGUUCCUCUGGCCGCCGGGGCUCUGUGGGGCCGGUUCCCCCGGCCGGGGCCGCACAGCUCCCGGGAGCCCCUCGGCCACGGCAUCGGGGCGCAGCCCCAGGAACGGGGAACUGCCGCAAACACUGGCACCAGCCCGGCGGGACCCCCACGUCCCCGGGACCCCCGCGCAGCCCCGGGAUGGUCGGGGGCACCGGGCCCCCCACGCGCUCCGGGACCCCCGGUCCCCCCCCCCCGUGCAGCCCCGGAGCCGUCGGGGGGGACCGGGGCACGCGGCCGCCGCGGGAUCCCCCUGCAGCCCCGCRAUUCCCGAGCGCUCCCGGCUCCUUCCCGGGGCUUCCUGGUCCCUCCGCGCUGCCCCAGCNNNNNNNNNNNNNNNNNNNNNNNNNNNNNNNNNNNNNNNNNNNNNNNNNNNNNNNNNN
rnacentral:lncRNA from 1 species